rnacentral:rRNA from 1 species
CAGACCUCUGAUCAGAAAAGAGUACCCGCUGAGUUUAA